AAUAAUCCUUACAUUCGUCAUAAAAAAGACACUGUGUGCGAUGAUUCAUAACGAGUGCCGAAUGAAGAAACACAAUUAAGCCAUUACUCGUGUCCGUACGUAUUCGCCCGCACUCGUCGAGUAUCUAAAUGACACGUAACGAACUCAGAUUUACGUAAAUGAAACAAAGAUUUCUCCUUCGAGUGCAAUAACUAUAAAAAUACUAACGUAAGAACAAAACUGUCUAUUAAUAAUUAUUAGGUAUAUAUUACUGUGUAAUGAUUAAUUUACAUUCGAAAUAAUCCUUUUCAAAAUGUAUUUUAUUGACGAUUUCUUAUCGUUUUUCGCAGUUCCAUUUAACCUUUGCCCGUUGUUUCAUUGCGUGUUUAGUAUAUGUGAAAGAGCACUUGUACUGAUUGAAUAUUUUGUUUAUAUUAAAGUAGUGAAGCUUGGUUACGUUCCGAUGUGACCAUAGAAAGUUGUUCGAUAAAAUAUUUAUUUCUUGAAAUUACUCGCGCGCUAAAUAUUAGAGACAGUUAAGGACGCGCUAAAGACACUAUAAGAGCAAACCUUCCCCGAAAUGAUAACAACAAGCAUACCAAGAGCUGGAUGGCAAAUGGAUGGAUGGCAAAUGGAUACUUGGCAAAAUGAUCUUGGAAACACUGAAUGAGCAGCAGUUCCAGGCAGUAACAAAAAACUUUGCUGCAUUGGCGAUUGGAUAACUUAGGUUCGUUUUUUUAUUGUAUGUCUAUAUGUUCGUAUUUCAGCUGUUAAUUUACGUGAAAACUAUUGGCAAAUUUGAUAUUUUGAAGAUAGGUUGUAUUCUAUCUAGCAAGCGCUUGACAACUGGGUUUUGGAGAUAUAGCGGGAUAAUCCUACUAUGCUCCCAAUGUUUAUCAACACAAUAUCGAAAUUAUUAAAACAAAACAAUUGUUUUAUUGGUGAUGUUUUACAGAAUGAAUUAAUUGAGAACACUAAAGGAAAGAUUCUCAAUGCACUUUUGUACCUACGUAUUUAAAUAACAUUAACACUAAUUGUCAUUGACAUUUUGAUAUUGUCAAUUCUUUGUAUAGGCACAGAUACAUACAAGGUCGUCAAGGCCAUAAUCAUAUAUAAUUGAAAAUAUUUAUGUGUUAAUAUGUCAGAAAACUAAAAGGUUAGGCGAGAUUCUAAAUAAAUUUCUAAAUAAUCCUCGAGGUAGUUAUAUUCACGAUGAUUCGUUGUGUGGUUUGAUGGUGAUGGAUGCUCUUAUUGUCUUGACCUGUAUUUAUCAAUAUACGUAAAGGAAAUAAUCAACGUAACAUAACUUUCACUAAUUUAAAAACGUCCGAUGAACUUGAAAAUUAGGACACGCAUCAAGAACGAUGACUUUUAUACGACCCAGGCAACGACGAAAAGCAAAGCCGCGACAUGCUUGGUUGAAAAGCAUUCUUGUCAGUCCCCAGUCUUCAGUAUUGCUUGCAAUACGUGCUUUUAGGCCCCUCAAACACCGGCCACCGUCUCUCACUCUUGGUCGUGAUCGACGAGUUCGACGAGAGGAUCAAUCCGUAGACAAAGUAUACCGAGUUUCUCGCCGGAUGGGUUCGGAGGCGUUAAUGUCUUCAGGUCCUUAGGAUCUAGUAACCACAUCACAACAGAUGGAACUGGGAGCGCGUUUACACAUUUAAACAAUGAAAAACUUUUUACAAGUAUCUCAUAAAGUGAGGUAUACGAACAUGUAUUAUGACUGCCAUACUUCCACGAAGAAAUGCGAUUACCGCCAGCCACCUCGAGCAUAAGAAUGAUAUCUCAAUUGUGUUGUAUAACGGCUGAUCAAAUCGGAACGCGGGCCUGCUUCACUGCAGAAACAGGCAAGACGGUGGUACUUAUUCGUGCGGGCUUACAUUGUUCCCUACCACCGUCUAAUGGCAUUAAAUGGUAAAAUUAAGCCCACCGAGUCCCUCGCCGGAUCUUCUCGGUGCGUCGCGAUUCCGAUUCGGUGUUAGAUUCUGUGAAACGCUGCUUUGCUAGGGCUGGCGUUGCCAAAUUCUCUCAGGUUUAUGAGCUCACCUAACCGUCCGCGCGUUACUGGAAUAACCUCUUAGGCUACCAGCGAAUAGGUAAAAAGAACGGUAACAGUACAGUGGUCUCAUUACUUUGACUAAAUAUAACCAGGUUGAAAAAAGAAAGAGGUGUCAUAUGACCACCCGGUUGGAAUGGAGCUCCAUUUUCCAUUUUUUUGUGUGUAUAUUAAGUAGUAAUCAAAUAAUAAAUAAAGAGUCAGUAUAAAAUAAAAACCAAUCAUAAAAUUUGAAUAAAUGCGAACAAAGUUGGUAUUGCUUUAAUCAUGGAUUUCUGGAAUAUUCGUGAAAAUAGGUACAUUACUGUCUUAUCUUAUUAUUUAAUAUAAAUUUAUAAAAUUUCUUUGAAUAUAUUAAAAAUUGACGACCAGUUGAAUCGAUAGAAAAAAGUUUCACUUGCCUAGGUGAUCGGAAAGUGCCCCUUAACUCAUUAGACAUCAGGAAAGUGCCCCAAAAAUCACUGCAAACUGUCGCUUUUUGGGGUCGUUUUUCAUUAUUACUUUUUCCGGUCUAGCCCCUUAGUCCGCAAACAAAACAUGCGCUAAUAUGCGUAAAAAUAUAUUUGUUUGUCUUGUCAUUCAAGUGUGAUCAUGUACGUAUUAUUAAAAAUAUGUUUUCAUUAAUGUAUUAUGUUACCACUACUGCCACUCGUGUUUAUUUUCGAGAAAUGUUCUCUUUAAUUCGAUUUAUACCUAACGAAAAAUUGUACUAUGUCAUUUAUAUUAAUACAUGUGUCAUGCGCAAUUAUAAAUAUCCUGUUUUUUAAAUCCAAUGUUCAAGUUCCAGUCACCGCGACGGCUGUGCAAGUUCAUUGACACUUACGAUGACACCGCGCGUAUCAAUUUUUCAAGGAAUGUACACACAACGUUUCUUGUCUUGAUUGCAGUUGAGAAUUCAGUUUUUUUUUUCAGUAUCAACAGGAGGCUUUGCUUAUACGUGUGUGCAUCGAAAAAUAACUAAAUAACAUCGUAUUUUAAUACAUCUACUAUAUUAUCGUGUACUAACGGCGGAUCCAGGGGGGGGAUGACACCCCCCCCCCCCCCCGAGCAGAUUCCAGGUUCAGUUUUGCGGAGUUUUGCGUCAUACCCCUCGACAUACCUCUAGCUGAUAGUACUUCUCUGGAUGUCUUCAAGAGAAGAUGGCAAUAUGUACGUGUAUAUGUACAAGUUAUUAUGUGUUAAGUUUUUCAAGUGUACAAUAAAGAAUAAAUAUCUUUAAGUACAGUACUUACGUACAUUAAUAAAAUACCUACUUUUAACUUGUAUCUAUUGUUAUCAAAAUUAAAUUAUAAGUUCUUGACUUGACCACGACUAUGUGACCCCCUCUUGGCGCCAAAGCUGGACCCGUCCUUGUCGUGUACAAAUAAAUGUUUUGACUGAUUUCAAUGAAACGAAAAUAUUUUCUUUCAACGUAGCUGCGAUACUAUCGUGAAAUGUAUACUCGUAAUAUAUAUAUUGAAAAUAUAACAAUACGAUAAUAAAUGAAGAUAUAAUAUUAUUGUUACAAUAAUGAACAAACUUCACAUGCAAUAAUUGAUCCAAGCACAGCAUGAGGGUUCAACAAACGGAGAACGGUAAGUAAGUAAUAAAUGAAGGAAUGAAUAUUAAAAUACAAUUAUUACUGUAUCAUUUUCUGAGCAUCAAAAGUAAAUUUCAACUGAAUCUCAAUAUCAGAGCUGAUGGUUGUAAAGUGUGCGGAUUUUAUUCAAUAUGAAUAAAAUUUAAGCACUGUUCAUUGGUAAUUAUUUGGGAACAGCUGGAACGAUUUGUCAUUAUUUUUUGAUUCGUAUUAAUACGGAUAUCAUAUAUUUUUUAAGAAAUAAUAACAUAGAUAAUGUCUGUCGGGGAGUCUAGCAGAUUGUAAUGAAACUCCAGAAUUUUGAUUACAUUUUAAACUCAUCUAAUAUGCUACACAUAAAAUAAACCAAGACAAACUAGUUUUUGUUACGAAUGCACUGUAUUAUAUCUCAUUGGCUAGACUAAUGACAUACAUUAAUUACAUUCUCAAUUAGCUCCUGACGGAAGCGGAUUUUAAUUACUAUAGUUUUAGAUGAACGUUUGAAUCGAACAAUUGCUUCUUAUGUUCUUAGUAUUCAGGCUCACUCUAGAAUUUUUCUAGCGCUACCCUCAGGGACCAUAGACAAAUGGAUUCGCUGUUGUAUCUUGUAUCACGAGAAUUAGAGUAGAUGACUGAUUCUCAUCAACGUCAAACAUGCCAACGGGUAAGACCAAGCUUACCGUUAACACAUUGAAAACUAUGACGGACCAUGAUGUGUCCACGGCAUACUUUCCCCUUGGGCCGCACCAAUAUAUCAAGAAUAGUUCAAAAAUUAUAUAAGUGUUUUUUCGCAAAUAUUGUCAAAAAGUAUCUCAAAAAUAAUUGGCGAUUUACGGAAACUAAUGGUAGUUUUCCAAUUACAGCACAAGAGCGCAUUAUGCGGCAUAAUGCUCAACGUUGAAUGUUCCAACUAUAGCAACGCUUCGCACAAUCGAGCACUCUCAAAAGUACUGCUCUCGCGUGAUACUCGCAAUCGAUACCAACUCAGUGACAGAAAAUUGACAAGUGUUUUUUCUUUAAAUUGGCAUUGAUCAAAAUUUUGUUUAUAUUAUCGUUAGUAAUAUGAUUUAAUGUUGAAAAAAAUUGUAAGGCUUUCGUUUCGUCGUAGUUUCUUAGAAAUAAUCAAUGUUAAUUAAAACUGUGCUAACUUAGCGCACUCUGCUGAUGCAUUUGAAAACUAAUUCACUUUCCAAUUAAGCUUCAGCAUAAUUCGGCAUUGUGCGUCACUGAGUCGCAUGCUCUGUAAUUGCAAAACUACCAAUGACUAGUCAUUAUUUUCCGAGGUGUCAAAUGUCCGUUGCGCCACCCUGGACCCAACUUAUUGGCGGUCACAGGGUGUCCGCCACGGCCUGCUGACCUAAGCAUGGUUUCUAGUCUAGAAAUUUCGUGUCCCCGGACAUGUCAUAAGCACCGUAGUGGAGAAUUGACAUUACUCAUUGACUAGAAUAUUAAUAUAAAGCUGUAAAUCAAUUUACUUUUUCCCCCCUUCCUAUUCGCUGGUAGCUUAAGGGAGCUAUUCCAGCUACGACCGGACGGGUAGGUGAGCUCACGGGCUCCUAAUACUAGCCCUAGCAAGAGUAGUGCUUCACAGAAUCUACUACCGGUUUGGAAUCGCGACCCGCUGAGAAGAUCCGGCGAGAAAGUUAGCGGGCUGAUGGUUAGCUUAGGUUGUACGUCGAAUUCUUUGUCGAGUUCGACGAGUACGGUUACCGGAGUCCCUGAGCCUGCUCCUAGUGCUAGAGCUAAAGGCGUCUAAUUCAGCAGUUGUUGGAUCUGAUGUAUCCGUAAGGAAGUGUAAGAGUGGAGAAUUCAUUACAGAUUUGAAUACGAAACAAAUGAUCUGUGGAUUCGUCCCCUUUUCAAUUUAUAAAACUCUUCGAAUCUGGCCGCAUAACCGAUUUGCGGGAGAAAUAUGCAUACUCUCAAAGUGAAUCAUAAUCAAUAGUUAAGAUAGGGACUGCAUAAAUAUUAAUGUUCAAUAUACACACCUUAGCCGUCUUCUUUCAUUCGAUGUUAGAACUGCAGGCAUACCUCGCAUGGCCAGCAGGUGGUUAACUGUAUGUGUUGGUAAGUGAUAUGAAGGACCUUGCUUGUUCAGCUGUUUCUGUAAAGGUUAUUACUAUCAUUGUAUUUUUGUAAUGUGACAUGUAUUUUUUUUUAGCUCAUUAAAAAAAACAAUCAUCUCUCAAAAUAUAUUUAUGUUUAGGAUUUAAAAAAAGCUAUUUCUUUGAUACUCAACACUAAAUAGGGAUGUAACGUUUUAAAGUUUCAAAAAUAUACUCUUACUUCUAUGUGAACAUUUCAAUUACAGAAUUACUUUGAUUAAUGUUGCUAGUGCUCUAUCAUCUCUGUAGUCUCUGGCUAGUUUUAGUCCUGUAUGUGCUCUCACAACGUGCCUCCGUAAAGCAGCCCGACGCAGCGCCAGCCUUGCACUUCGACUUUCUGCUGCUGUUUCUUCAACGCAGACCGGACCUCCGCCUGAUUCUGAAAUAUAACAGUGAUUUUCCAUUAAUAAAUAGUUAUUUACAUUGAAACUCAAUUGCAUUGUAUAAAUUGUCCUAUUUUUAUAUUUGCACACUCAGAAAAUAUCUUACUAACAAUUUCAAUAAAAAUAUAUUUAGUACAGAAUUCAUUUACAGUUAGUUUACAAUAAAAUAUAUUUUGUAACAGCUAAUGUAUGUGAAAAAAUAUUAUAAUAUUAAUGAACAAA